UUAGCCCAGCCCACCAAGCACCCACACCCCUCACGCUCUUCUUCCUCACCUCACAGCCCCAACCCUAGCCGCCCUACCCCUGCGCGCCGCCCCUUCCCUGUGGCCGCUGCUCCCGCGCGCCUCCACCUCUCACGCGUGCAGCCGCCUUGGCGCGCGCCACCGCUCGCACUGUGCCGCCGCCUCCCGCGCGCCGCCCUCGCGCGCAGUGUCACCGCCUCCCGCGCGCCGCCUUCGCGCGCAGCGCCGCCGCCAGGGCCUCGCCGAGGCUUCCGCCUUCGCAAGCCGCUGCCGCCGGCGUGAGCCCGCGCGGCCGCUGCCGCGCCAAGCCCCCCACGCCGUGGCCGCCAGGGGGUCCAGCGCCGCCGCGGGAUCUAUGCCGCGCUUGCCCGCACGCCUCCGAGCAACCUCGUGUGCUUGCUGAUGCGGAACUUGCUCCACUGUAGGCCAUCCUCGUCGCUCAGGGUUUGGGCCAUGGAAGCUGCUGCUGGACUACGGGGAUCCCCAACGACUGCUCAAGCAGUGAAGGUUAGUUUUGAUUCCCUUUCUCCCAUUCCCUGAUGCUUAAUUUUUGAAUCGAACUAGUACCAAUUGAACUCCAUCUGACAUGCCAUAAAUGAAGUGCCGAACAUUGCAAAGAGGGUAUUUUAAUAUUAACCUGAAAUUAUGUUCUUGCUUUACAAAUAUAUUGUCUCCUACUUGCAACCGUGGGCGACGUCGACAACUGUGAGGUCGGCUUGCUCUGCCUCUUCUUGGCGUCGGCAGCCUGCUCCUCCUCUUAAGGUUUUCUUUUCAGUUCCUGUUGCUUAUGAUACAUAACUAUUCUAAUGUAGGUCCUUUUGCUUGUGAUAUAUAACUAUUGUAAUGUAGGUCUUUUUGCUUGUUAUCUGCUACUUGCUAUCUUGCCCCCAAGAUAUAUAAGAGAGCUGUAGGUUAUUUUUCGCUUCUGUUUUCUAUAGGCCAUCUGCUUUUAAUUAUGUGCUUCCUUGACACAUGAAUAUUUUUGCUCUAGUACCAUGUGCUGCCAUUUUAUGAGCUUCAGUUAUCCAUUAACUUGCAAGCAUGGUUCGGCUAGGCGGCGAUUCCGCGGCGCCUAGGCGCGAUUAGGCGCUAGUCGAAGCCCUGCCGCGUCGAUUUGGCCGUAGUCGCUCUUCUAGGCGGCGGCAGCUCGUCGGCGGAGCCAGUAGGGGUGGAGGAGCGUCUGGCGGAGGUCGCCGGUGGGUGGGGGGGGAGAGGAGCUGCGGGCGGCGGCAGGGGCUUACACGGGCAGCUGCUGGCGCAGGCGCGGGCGCCCAGCAGAGGAGAAAGAGAUGUCGGAGAGGGAGAGGGAGAGGGAGAGGAAUCGUCGGCGGCGGCGGCUGAGGCUGGAGACGAGCCUCACGAAGGAUGCGGGAGUUGGGAGAUGGAUAGGAUUUGGACAGGUUGCCUCUCUCUUGGGCCUUUCUAUGGACUGGACAGGUUGUCUCUUGGGCCUUUCUAUCUCCCUAAAUCAGUCUUUUUACCUAUCUGAGCCCACUAUUCAGCUGUUUAUUUUUUUCUUUUAGAAGAUAAUAUAUGUAUAUUAGUAUAUAUAUAUAAAACGCCUAGGAAAACGCCUAGGAGCGCCUAGGACCGAGUACUCCCGACUAGGCGCUAGGCAAUGGGUCAGCGCCUAGAUUCCGCCUAGCGCCUAGCUGAACUUUGCUUGCAAGAAUGUGUUAUCAGGGAAGCAUAAAUGCUGCACUUGGAAUCAUGACUGAGGAUGACUGGAGGUUGCAUGUGUAUGGCGAUUGGCUUGAUAAGCUAAUUUAUAAUAGUUGUCACCAUGUAUUUGAUGUUGGAAAGAUAGCGACAUAUUUAUCUUAAAAUAGUUUCUAAAUGAUAGCUUCAAGCAACUACAGUUGUGCAUGUGAUGCCGACAGAACUGGACAUGCUAUGGUGCACGCACUAUAUGGUCAAGCAAUGAAGCACGAUGAAGGGAAAUGAUCAGAUGUACCAAGGAACCAAUAGUUAGAACAGAUCAGUUGAGGAUCCGAUGCAUCCAGUGACAAGCAGUUAGAAGAGAUAGGAAAUUUGAAGAAGGCAACAGAGGAGACUGAUGGUUUUGGUCUAUCUAUAACUCCUGUUCAUGAUUAAGUGGCUGUAAUCUCUUAUUUGGGUAUAAUUUGUACCUUACAUGUUCAGGAUGAUGUGUUGUAAAUGUUUUGAUGGUGAUUAAAAAUGGUUUGUGCCAAUGAAAAUAGGCCUGCAAAAAAUUAUGUUUUAUUGA